GACGAACGCUGGCGGCGUGCUUAACACAUGCAAGUCGAACGGAAAGGCGCUGCUUUUGUGGGGUGCUCGAGUGGCGAACGGGUGAGUAACACGUGAGUAACCUGCCCUUGACUUUGGGAUAACUUCAGGAAACUGGGGCUAAUACCGGAUAGGAGCUCCUGCUGCAUGGUGGGGGUUGGAAAGUUUCGGCAGUUGGGGAUGGACUCGCGGCUUAUCAGCUUGUUGGUGGGGUAGUGGCUUACCAAGGCUUUGACGGGUAGCCGGCCUGAGAGGGUGACCGGCCACAUUGGGACUGAGAUACGGCCCAGACUCCUACGGGAGGCAGCAGUGGGGAAUAUUGCACAAUGGGCGGAAGCCUGAUGCAGCAACGCCGCGUGCGGGAUGACGGCCUUCGGGUUGUAAACCGCUUUCGCCUGUGACGAAGCGUGAGUGACGGUAAUGGGUAAAGAAGCACCGGCUAACUACGUG
rnacentral:rRNA from 1 species